rnacentral:misc_RNA from 1 species
UAAUAAUUCACAUCGCACCACUUCAUUAAUAGAACUUGAAGACCUAACCAAGUCAAUUGUAACAUAUAGAAGCUUAGCUGUUCUGCAAACAUCACUUUCAGCAGGCAGCAACACAUUGCAGCAUGCAGAACUAUAGCAAAUUACAGUGUAUCAGAUCAAAAGUACAAAUUUGAUAUAUUAUGUUCUAUAGACACCCACCUUGAAUAAGAAAAGAACCCAUCUCUCAUCCAGUUUGAAAUAGAAUUGUCACUUCUGAAGAUGGGGAAAACAGGUGAAAACAUCAGAUUUGGGGUGUUUUGCUUCAGCAUGCUCCCUACAUUUCACCUCUGAGGUUGUACACAUGAAUGUUUGCAUGCACACCUUGCACUGAAUAGUCAUAGCUUUUUUGUUGGAAUCAAGCUGGCUUCCCUUGGCGCCUUUUUGUUUCUCCAAGUUUC